rnacentral:rRNA from 1 species
AUUGAACGGCGGCGGCAGGCCUAACACAUGCAAGUCGAGCGCGAAAACACUUCGGUGUGAGUAGAGCGGCGGACGGGUGAGUAAUGCUUGGGAAUCUGCCCAGUAGUGGGGGAUAACGUGUGGAAACGCACGCUAAUACCGCAUACGUCCUACGGGAGAAAGCAGGGGAUCUUCGGACCUUGCGCUAUUGGAUGAGCCCAAGUCGGAUUAGCUAGUUGGUGGGGUAAUGGCCUACCAAGGCGACGAUCCGUAGCUGGUCUGAGAGGAUGAUCAGCCACACUGGGACUGAGACACGGCCCAGACUCCUACGGGAGGCAGCAGUGGGGAAUAUUGCACAAUGGGCGAAAGCCUGAUGCAGCCAUGCCGCGUGUGUGAAGAAGGCUCUAGGGUUGUAAAGCACUUUCAGUAGGGAGGAAAAGCUUAAGGUUAAUAACCUUGAGCCCUGACGUUACCUACAGAAGAAGCACCGGCAAACUCCGUGCCAGCAGCCGCGGUAAUACGGAGGGUGCGAGCGUUAAUCGGAAUUACUGGGCGUAAAGCGCGCGUAGGUGGUUUGAUAAGCUAGCUGUGAAAGCCCCGGGCUCAACCUGGGAACUGCAGUUAGAACUGUCUGACUAGAGUACAGUAGAGGGUGGCGGAAUUUCCUGUGUAGCGGUGAAAUGCGUAGAUAUAGGAAGGAACAUCAGUGGCGAAGGCGGCCACCUGGACUGAUACUGACACUGA